GCUGAUGAAGUGAUGAGUUUUUCAUGUCUCUUCUCUGACAUGUGUUCAUGAAGAGAGUUUCAACACCUCUGAUCUCAGC